GGGUUGUGAGGUUAAGCGACUAAGCGUACACGGUGGAUGCCCUGGCAGUCAGAGGCGAUGAAGGACGUGCUAAUCUGCGAUAAGCGCCGGUAAGGUGAUAUGAACCGUUAUAACCGGCGAUUUCCGAAUGGGGAAACCCAGUGUGACUCGUCACACUAUCAUUAACUGAAUCCAUAGGUUAAUGAGGCGAACCGGGGGAACUGAAACAUCUAAGUACCCCGAGGAAAAGAAAUCAACCGAGAUUCCCCCAGUAGCGGCGAGCGAACGGGGAGGAGCCCAGAGCCUGAAUCAGCAUGUGUGUUAGUGGAAGCGUCUGGAAAGGCGCGCGAUACAGGGUGACAGCCCCGUACACAAAAGCGCAUGUGCUGUGAGCUCGAUGAGUAGGGCGGGACACGUGGUAUCCUGUCUGAAUAUGGGGGGACCAUCCUCCAAGGCUAAAUACUCCUGACUGACCGAUAGUGAACCAGUACCGUGAGGGAAAGGCGAAAAGAACCCCGGCGAGGGGAGUGAAAAAGAACCUGAAACCGUGUACGUACAAGCAGUGGGAGCACCCUUUGGGGUGUGACUGCGUACCUUUUGUAUAAUGGGUCAGCGACUUAUAUUCUGUAGCAAGGUUAACCGAAUAGGGGAGCCGGAGGGAAACCGAGUCUUAAUUGGGCGUUAAGUUGCAGGGUAUAGACCCGAAACCCGGUGAUCUAGCCAUGGGCAGGUUGAAGGUUGGGUAACACUAACUGGAGGACCGAACCGACUAAUGUUGAAAAAUUAGCGGAUGACCUGUGGCUGGGGGUGAAAGGCCAAUCAAACCGGGAGAUAGCUGGUUCUCCCCGAAAGCUAUUUAGGUAGCGCCUCGUGAAUUCAUCUCCGGGGGUAGAGCACUGUUUCGGCUAGGGGGCCAUCCCGGCUUACCAACCCGAUGCAAACUGCGAAUACCGGAGAAUGUUAUCACGGGAGACACACGGCGGGUGCUAACGUCCGUCGUGAAGAGGGAAACAACCCAGACCGCCAGCUAAGGUCCCAAAGUCAUGGUUAAGUGGGAAACGAUGUGGGAAGGCCCAGACAGCCAGGAUGUUGGCUUAGAAGCAGCCAUCAUUUAAAGAAAGCGUAAUAGCUCACUGGUCGAGUCGGCCUGCGCGGAAGAUGUAACGGGGCUAAACCAUGCACCGAAGCUGCGGCAGCGACGCUGAUGCGUUGUUGGGUAGGGGAGCGUUCUGUAAGCCUGUGAAGGUGGCCUGUGAGGGUUGCUGGAGGUAUCAGAAGUGCGAAUGCUGACAUAAGUAACGAUAAAGCGGGUGAAAAGCCCGCUCGCCGGAAGACCAAGGGUUCCUGUCCAACGUUAAUCGGGGCAGGGUGAGUCGACCCCUAAGGCGAGGCCGAAAGGCGUAGUCGAUGGGAAACGGGUUAAUAUUCCCGUACUUGGUGUUACUGCGAAGGGGGGACGGAGAAGGCUAUGUUGGCCGGGCGACGGUUGUCCCGGUUUAAGCGUGUAGGUGUGUGUUCCAGGUAAAUCCGGUUCACUUUAACACUGAGGCGUGAUGACGAGGCACUACGGUGCUGAAGCAACAAAUGCCCUGCUUCCAGGAAAAGCCUCUAAGCAUCAGGUAACAUCAAAUCGUACCCCAAACCGACACAGGUGGUCAGGUAGAGAAUACCAAGGCGCUUGAGAGAACUCGGGUGAAGGAACUAGGCAAAAUGGUGCCGUAACUUCGGGAGAAGGCACGCUGACACGUAGGUGAAGUGAUUUACUCAUGGAGCUGAAGUCAGUCGAAGAUACCAGCUGGCUGCAACUGUUUAUUAAAAACACAGCACUGUGCAAACACGAAAGUGGACGUAUACGGUGUGACGCCUGCCCGGUGCCGGAAGGUUAAUUGAUGGGGUCAGCGCAAGCGAAGCUCCUGAUCGAAGCCCCGGUAAACGGCGGCCGUAACUAUAACGGUCCUAAGGUAGCGAAAUUCCUUGUCGGGUAAGUUCCGACCUGCACGAAUGGCGUAAUGAUGGCCAGGCUGUCUCCACCCGAGACUCAGUGAAAUUGAACUCGCUGUGAAGAUGCAGUGUACCCGCGGCAAGACGGAAAGACCCCGUGAACCUUUACUAUAGCUUGACACUGAACAUUGAGCCUUGAUGUGUAGGAUAGGUGGGAGGCUUUGAAGUGUGGACGCCAGUCUGCAUGGAGCCGGCCUUGAAAUACCACCCUUUAAUGUUUGAUGUUCUAACGUGGACCCGUGAUCCGGGUUGCGGACAGUGUCUGGUGGGUAGUUUGACUGGGGCGGUCUCCUCCUAAAGAGUAACGGAGGAGCACGAAGGUUGGCUAAUCCUGGUCGGACAUCAGGAGGUUAGUGCAAUGGCAUAAGCCAGCUUGACUGCGAGCGUGACGGCGCGAGCAGGUGCGAAAGCAGGUCAUAGUGAUCCGGUGGUUCUGAAUGGAAGGGCCAUCGCUCAACGGAUAAAAGGUACUCCGGGGAUAACAGGCUGAUACCGCCCAAGAGUUCAUAUCGACGGCGGUGUUUGGCACCUCGAUGUCGGCUCAUCACAUCCUGGGGCUGAAGUAGGUCCCAAGGGUAUGGCUGUUCGCCAUUUAAAGUGGUACGCGAGCUGGGUUUAGAACGUCGUGAGACAGUUCGGUCCCUAUCUGCCGUGGGCGCUGGAGAACUGAGGGGGGCUGCUCCUAGUACGAGAGGACCGGAGUGGACGCAUCACUGGUGUUCGGGUUGUCAUGCCAAUGGCACUGCCCGGUAGCUAAAUGCGGAAGAGAUAAGUGCUGAAAGCAUCUAAGCACGAAACUUGCCCCGA
rnacentral:rRNA from 1 species